GACGUAGGACGCAAGCGUUAUCCGGAUUUAUUGGGUUUAAAGGGUGCGUAGGCGGAAAUAUAAGUCAGUGGUGAAAGACUGUCGCUCAACGAUAGCAUUGCCAUUGAUACUGUUUUUCUUGAGUAUAGUUGAGGUAGGCGGAAUGUGUAGUGUAGCGGUGAAAUGCUUAGAUAUUACACAGAACGCCGAUUGCGAAGGCAGCUUACUAAGCUAAAACUGACGCUGAGGCACGAAAGCGUGGGGAUCAAACAGG
rnacentral:rRNA from 1 species